AUACGGAGGAUCCGAGCGUUAUCCGAAUUUAUUGGGUUUAAAGGGAGCGUAGGCGGGAGAUCAAGUCAGCUGUGAAAUGUAGAUGCUCAACAUCUGCACUGCAGUUGAAACUGGUUUUCUUGAGUGCGUAAGGGGCAGGCGGAAUUCGUCGUGUAGCGGUGAAAUGCUUAGAUAUGAGGAAGAACUCCGGUCGCGAAGGCAGCCGGCCGGGCCGCGACUGACGCUGAAGCUCGAAGGUGCGGGUAUCGAACAGGAUUAGAUACCCUGGUAGUCCGCACAGUAAACGAUGGAUACUCGCUGUCGGCGAUAUACGGUCGGUGGCCAAGCGAAAGCGUUAAGUAUCCCACCUGGGGAGUACGCCGGCAACGGUGAAACUCAAAUGAAUUGGCGGGG
rnacentral:rRNA from 1 species